AUUGACCUACGGGGGGCAGCAGUAGGGAAUUUUCGUCAAUGGGCGCAAGCCUGAACGAGCAAUGCCGCGUGAACGAGGAAGGUCUUCGGAUCGUAAAGUUCUGUUGAAGGGGAAAAAGAGCGGAGAGAGGAAAUGGUCUCCGAUUGAUAUUACCCUUCGAGGAAGUCACGGCUAACUACGUGCCAGCAGCCGCGGUAAUACGUAGGUGGCGAGCGUUAUCCGGAAUGAUUGGGCGUAAAGGGUGCGUAGGCGGCCUGCUAAGUCUGGAGUGAAAUGCCGGGGCUCAACCCCGGAACUGCUUUGGA
rnacentral:rRNA from 1 species